UACAGAGGGGGCAAGCGUUGUUCGGAAUUACUGGGCGUAAAGGGCGCGUAGGCGGCCUGUUAAGUCGAACGUGAAAUCCCCGGGCUCAACCCGGGAACUGCGUCCGAUACUGGCAGGCUUGAAUCCGGGAGAGGGAUGCGGAAUUCCAGGUGUAGCGGUGAAAUGCGUAGAGAUCAUGAGGAAGACCAGUGGCGAAGGCGGGUCUCUGGACAGUUCCUGACACUGAGGCACGAAGGCCAGGGGAGCAAACGGG
rnacentral:rRNA from 1 species